rnacentral:ncRNA from 1 species
CUUAUCAAGAGCGGCUGAGGGAACAGGCCCUGUGAAGCCCGACAACCUGCCAUAACGGCAAGGUGCCAAAUCCUGCGGGAAACCGGAAGAUAAG